GACGAACGCUGGCGGCGUGCCUAAUACAUGCAAGUAGAACGCACAGUUUAUACCGUAGCUUGCUACACCAUAGACUGUGAGUUGCGAACGGGUGAGUAACGCGUAGGUAACCUGCCUGGUAGCGGGGGAUAACUAUUGGAAACGAUAGCUAAUACCGCAUAAUAUUAAUUAUUGCAUGAUAAUUAAUUGAAAGGUGCAAUUGCACCACUACCAGAUGGACCUGCGUUGUAUUAGCUAGUAGGUGAGGUAACGGCUCACCUAGGCGACGAUACAUAGCCGACCUGAGAGGGCGAUCGGCCACACUGGGACUGAGACACGGCCCAGACUCCUACGGGAGGCAGCAGUAGGGAAUCUUCGGCAAUAGACGAAAGUCUGACCGAGCAACGCCGCGUGAGUGAAGAAGGUUUUCGGAUCGUAAAGCUCUGUUGUAAGAGAAGAACGGGUGUGAGAGUGGAAAGUUCACACUGUGACGGUAUCUUACCAGAAAGGGACGGCUAACUACGUG
rnacentral:rRNA from 1 species